rnacentral:tRNA from 1 species
GCGGACGUGGCGAAAUCGGUAGACGCAGCAGACUUAAAAUCUGCCGACCAUUGGACUUGCGGGUUCAAGUCCCGCCGUCCGCACCA